GGAGAAAUACCCAAGUGGUUUAAGGGGACGGUCUCGAAAACCGUUAGGAGUGAAUAGCUCGCAGGGGUUCAAAUCCCCUUUUCUCCGCCA
rnacentral:tRNA from 1 species